AUACGGAGGGGGCAAGCGUUGUUCGGAAUUAUUGGGCGUAAAGGGCACGUAGGCGGUCAAGCAAGUUGGUGGUGAAAGCCCUCGGCUCAACCGAGGAAUUGCCCCCAAAACUGCUUGACUUGAGUCCCGGAGAGGGUGGCGGAAUUCCCAGUGUAGCGGUGAAAUGCGUAGAUAUUGGGAGGAACACCAGUGGCGAAGGCGGUCACCUGGACGGGUACUGACGCUGAGGUGCGAAAGCGUGGGGAGCAAACAGGAUUAGAAACCCGAGUAGUCC
rnacentral:rRNA from 1 species